rnacentral:lncRNA from 1 species
AGCAGCACAGUUAAAUCUUGCUGAGCUGUCGGCCUGGCACAAGGACGUGUACCCCCGGGAAGGAACCCGGCAGCGCUGCAUCCCUCUCCCAGCAUCUCUGAACCCCUGACAGUGAAGGAGCAGGGCAGGGUCCAACUCCUUCAUGCGGUUACCGUUGCACAGAGGAAGAAACCAUCUUCUGGGUGUGUAUACAUUCGGUGUAGAGGGGAUGAGCACGCACUGCCUGUGGCUUUCCAACCCGUGUCUCCAGCUGGGUAAGGUGGCAGAGAACAGGCUGGGGGUGCUGGAGCCUCACGUGGCCCUGCAGGGCAUCAGCCUUCAGCCCUGCAGGCUCGGGAAAUUGAGUGAGUGUGUUCCCGAAGAGAGACACGUCUAAAUUAUGCUCAAGUUGUCCUGGGUAUGGUAGCGAUGGGUGAGUCAGACGGCAGCAGACCGACCUGAGGGAGGGUGUGUGUUGCAGAAAUGGCUUUUCCACUGCUGCUCAGACUCAUUUCCUCUUGCAUCGAGAUGACUCGAGACAUGUUUUAAUAACAGCACGGUCAUCUGCUCGCUGCUUAUUGCUCAGGGCAGGAAUACGCAAUCCCAGACCCCAGGAAUAUUUUGCCUUUUUUUUUUUUUUUUUUUUGGAGAGACCGCUAGGAAGUAUCCCAACUUGAAUUCUGCAUUCGGUGCUGGCGUUAAGGCAUGGUAUUUUAAAGCCUUUUUGCUGGGUGCAAGCCCAGCCCAGCAUCUUUCCCCGAGACCUCGGCCAGCGAGGUGACCUCGCGCUUGUGGCAGACGGAGGUUGCACCCUGAGCUCUGCCGAGGAUGGGUGCUGGUUCCCCCUGGGACCUGCAGGGCUGAGCGAGGGGACGGGACCCCCCCACCCCAGCAUCUGCUCCGUCGGUGGUACCUGGAGAGACAUCAGAUACGGUGGGACCUGCGGGGGGGUCUCUGCCUUGGGAUGAGGAUGCAGAAGAUGGUGCAGAAGAGCCCCCGGCUUCUCCGAGGAUGCUCCGACGGUCCCCAGCACUUCGUGUCGGACAUGUCGCGGUGGUGGGCACCGGCCCGUGGCAGGAGGGCGGUUUUCCUGUCCUGCUGCAAAUGUUUACAGCAUGGGGAGAGUUUUGUUGCAUGUGGGAGAACCCUUGGGAUGAACGUGUGUCACGCAGAGGUUUUGUGUUCCUGCAGCUAUGCCGUUUCUGUCUGCAGCGACGGUGCUUGGGAUUUGCUCGUUUUGGGAGUGCUGGAGCGCCGACAGUGCAGACCAGCUACAGAACAGGAAAGAGAACGGCAGAGGAGGAGUGAACGUGACCCAGCACCCCCGUCUCUGCUCCUGAGAGCAGCUCUCCCCUGGGCUCUGUGUUCGCAUGAAGGAGGCAGCUGAGAUAAGGAGGCAGAGCGCCGCAGCCUUGGCAGCCUGGCCAGACACCAGCGUUUUCCCAAAAAAGCAUUUCUCAGGUGUCCUGCGCCAUUCUGCAGCGCUGCUCCUGGUCCCUCUCAUUCCUGAGUUCACCCUCACGGCCAAAUUUUUCUCCUGGUUUUUCUAGGGGUGUCUGUCAAAACUUAUUUAACUGUCAGCAUAUAUGAAAUCAUACAUGUGUAACUACACAAACAGUGGACAUUAAAUGGCUCUGGAUGCUCAGAAGUCCUGCUGUGCACCUGUUUUCCCCGCAGUGAGGAGAUGCGCAAUCGCCAGCGACCCCGCACCGAGCCGUUCUGAGUGAGGACAGGCUGAGAAAUGGCUGGGCUCCUCAAAGUAAGAACGACAAACCCAGCGCUCCCAAUAGUCGCUUAGUGGCUGAGAUAUUCUGGAAAGAUCAACAACAUAUUUUGAAUUAAUCGACAAAAGUUUUACAGAAGCAAUAACAAUAUUCCCUGCAAUGCCUAACCUGUGUUUCUGCUCUGACUAUUGAAGAUUGCAAGAUAUGCACGCGCUAUUUAUUCAAAUAACAACUCUAGUCUUUUUUUCCUAGUAUAACAAUGAAUAAAACGUANNNNNNNNNNNNNNNNNNNNAAGGA